AGGAGGCUUAGGAUCUGGUGGAUUGUCAGUUGGCAGUGAUGCCAAACUGCCAAAGAGGGAGGACCCGAUGGCUACCUCAUCCACGGCGAGGCAAGGUCCAGAUAGGCACAAUAUACACUGCCUUCUCUGCCACAAGCCCUAUGACAUGUUGUCCAGUCAUCUUAAAAAACAUUGCAGGAAGGCUGGCUGAAAUGAAAAGAGCGAAGGACUCUGCCAAGCAGUGGACGAAAGUAGAGUGUGGGACUACCAGAACUGCUUUCCUUGGUAAAGGAUGAAGAGUCCUACAAUGCUCUGGCUAACUGCUUUAAAAGCAAAGGAUCCUUCGUCGUCAAUGAGCCAGCUGAACAACCGGCGGGAGCAGAAGCCAGGUUGGUUUCUCUAAGUGGACUCUCAUGAUUAGAAUUAUUAUAAGGGAUUGUUUGAUGUUUUUAAUGAACAUCUCUAUUAUAAAUCACUCUUAUGUGUUGGGUAUGAAGGCUGCAGAUCCAGAGCUGAGAACCUGGAGUUGCCAAAGCAUGGAUCCAGAAAACCUGCUUAUGGCUCCAACUGGAGGUCAGCUUGAUGGAAAAUCACAGGCAUUUCUGUGUGGCCAUUCUAAUGGUGUCAUACCAAAGAAGCAAAAAGACCGUGAUGGAUUUCAUGUGGCGGUGUGCUCGUCAAACUGAAAGAGGUAGCCGGUGGUGUCACUCUUACCGAGGAAAAGGAAAGUCAACAGUAUGUGGAAUGGAGUAUGUGCCAAAGAGUGUUAAAUUGAUAAGUGUUAACCUGGUGGAGACCCAAUGAACUAGUGGUACGGCUACCAAAUACAACACCAGAUGGUUGUGAGGUCAAUACCAGGGCUGCCACCACUGUGCCCCUGAGCAAGGCACUUUACCCCGAGUUGCUCCAGGGGGGACUGUCCAUGUAGGUAGUUCACUGUAAGUCGCUCUGGAUAAGAGCGUCUGCUAAAUGACCUGUAACGAUAAUGUAAUGACCUUACAUUUUAUACACACAGUGGUUUGACUGCUAUAUCAGGUCAUUGUGCUUGAAGAGGCAAAGUCAAAGAGAUGAUGACAAAGGGCGUUUCUUCUUGGGGCAAACUGGAACUCCCAUUGUCAAUCCCAAAGACCGACUUGUACCGUCUAUGGCAGCAGUGAGUAUACUUCUGGUUUGUGCACCAAGUUCAUUCAAAGGCAAUUUCAAAAGGCGAGCAUUAGGGUACUGGGGUACUAACCUUCCUCAUGUGGAAGAGGUUCUUCUGGCUUGGGUCCCUCCUAAGACAGCCAUCAAAGAUGACAACACAAUCGUCACCUUAAUCAUUGAGCUGAGGCUGCUGAGGUAGAGGAGGUGAUGCUAAACAGAGAGCAAAGAAUAGGGGUGGAAGAGUUAGACCCCACAGCCUACUAAGAGGGCCAUGUCCUCCACGGGGGCCGAUAAUUCCCCCUGGUUGGAUGGGCAAACCAGAUUAUUAUUAUAUAUUUUUUUCAUAUUCAUUUUUUGAUUUUUAUGUUUUUGCCAAAAUACGUCACCUUACCUCAUAUUGUUGAAUAUUGUACCUUACUUCAUCUUAGUCUUACAUUUUUCUA
ensembl:lncRNA